rnacentral:rRNA from 1 species
UACGUAGGGAGCAAGCGUUGACCGGAAUCAUUGGGCGUAAAGCGCGCGUAGGUGGCCUCAUAAGUCCGCUGUGAAAGUCAAAGGCUCAACCUUUGAAAGCCGGUGGAUACUGUGGGGCUAGAGUACGGAAGAGGCGAGUGGAAUUCCUGGUGUAGCGGUGGAAUGCGCAGAUAUCAGGAGGAACACCAAUAGCGAAGGCAGCUCGCUGGGACGUUACUGACACUGAGGCGCGAAAGCGUGGGGAGCGAACAGG